rnacentral:rRNA from 1 species
AGUGAACGCUGGCGGUAGGCCUAACACAUGCAAGUCGAACGGCAGCACAGUAAGAGCUUGCUCUUACGGGUGGCGAGUGGCGGACGGGUGAGGAAUACAUCGGAAUCUACUUUUUCGUGGGGGAUAACGUAGGGAAACUUACGCUGAUACCGCAUACGACCUACGGGUGAAAGCAGGGGAUCUUCGGACCUUGCGCGAUUGAAUGAGCCGAUGUCGGAUUAGCUAGUUGGCGGGGUAAAGGCCCACCAAGGCGACGAUCCGUAGCUGGUCUGAGAGGAUGAUCAGCCACACUGGAACUGAGACACGGUCCAGACUCCUACGGGAGGCAGCAGUGGGGAAUAUUGGGCAAUGGGCGCAAGCCUGAUCCAGCCAUACCGCGUGGGUGAAGAAGGCCUUCGGGUUGUAAAGCCCUUUUGUUGGGAAAGAAAAGCAGCAGGUUAAUACCCCGCUGUUCUGACGGUACCCAAAGAAUAAGCACCGGCUAACUUCGUG